CACCACGCCCGGCUAAUUUUUUGUAUUUUUAGUAGAGACGGGGUUUCACCGUGUUAGCCAGGAUGGUCUCAAUAUCCUGACCUCGUGAUCCAUCCACCUUGGACUCCCAAAGGGCUGGGAUUACAUGCGCGAGUCACUGCGCCUGGCCUAGUUAACAUCAUUAACUUGUUCCUUGACCAUAAACAUCUUAUGACCGAAAGGGCCCAACACCCUGGGAAUGUCACCGGCAGGUUUGGCUUUGUCGGGCCUUUAUUAAAGAUGGCGUCACUCUGGUUAAGAUGCCUCUGACACUACCCUACGCUCAGCUCUUGGGUCUUUGUCCCUUCUCCAGCAGCAGCUAUGCCCUUCCUUUCCUUCUUUCUUCUUUCAGCUGGUUGUUACAUGGCAAUAAAGAUGAUUUUCUGGGUUUACUGAACAAAGUUUAAUCAGACAUCACCCUCAAACAGAAGAGGGGCCAGGAGCAGUGGCUCACUCCUGUAAUCUCAGCACUUCGGGAGGCCAAGGAGGGCAGAUCGCUUGAGGCCAGAAGUUCGAGACCAGCCUGGCCCACAUGGUGAAACCCCAUCUCUAUUAAAAAUACAAAAAUUAUCCAGGCUUGGUGGAGCGUGACUAUAGUCCCAGCUACUCAGGAGGCUGAGGCAGGAGAAUCGCUUGCACCCAGGAGGUGGAGAUUGCAGUGAGCCAAGAUCACACCAUUGCACUCCAGCCUGGACAACAAGAGUGAAACUCCAUCUCAAAAAUAAUAAUAAUAAAAUAAAAAUAAAAAUAAAAAUGCAGGAUCUAGGCCGUUGAUCACCAAUUGUGGCACCAUCGAAUUGCCGUAUAGGUCUUCUCAACUUCUGUGCUUCCCUUGGUGCAGGCUGGGAACAGCUGGUGGACACCCUUCAAGGAGCACUGACACCCAUAAAUCUGCUUUCACCACAGGGACAGAUCGGAGUGCCAAUAACCUGCAGCAACAGAUCGGAGCGUCAAUACCCCACAGCAACAGAUCGGAGAGCCAAUACCCUGCAGCAACAGAUUGGAGCAUCAAUACCCCACAGCAACAGAUCAGAGCACUGAUAACCCACAGCAGCAGACUGGAGCAUCAAUACCCCACAGCAACAGCUUGGAGCACUGAUAACCCACAGCGACAAACCGAAGUAUCAAUACCCCACAGCAACAGAUCGGAGCACUGAUACACCACAGCGGCAGAUUGGAGCACUAAUAUCCCACAGCGACAGAUCGGACCGUCAAUACCCCACAGCAACAGAUCGGAGAGCCAAUACCCUGCAGCGACAGAUCAGAGUGCCGAUAACCCACAGUGGCAGAUCGGAGCAUCAAUACCCCACAGCAACAGAUUGGAGCACUGAUAACCCACAGCGACAGAUUGGAGCACUGAUAACCCACAGUGGCAGAUCAGAGUGCUAAUAUCCCACAGUGACAGAUCGGAGUGCUAAUAUCCCACAGCGACAGAUCGGAGCAUCAGUACCCCACAGCAACAGAUCACAGAACCAAUACCCUGCAGCAACAGAUCAGAGCACCGAUAACCCACAGUGGCAGGUCGGAGCACUGAUAACCCACAGCGGCAGAUCAGAGCGCUAAUAUCCCAUGAUGACAGGUCAAUAGAUCAGAGCACCAAUACCCCACAGUGACAGAUCAAUAGAUCAGAGCGCCAAUACCCCGCAGCAACAGAUCGGAGUGCUAAUAUCACCCAGUGACAGAGCAACAGAAUAGAGAGCCAAUACCCCGCAGUGACAGAUCGAUAGAUCAGAGCACCAAUACCUCGCAGCGACA
rnacentral:lncRNA from 1 species